rnacentral:rRNA from 1 species
UACGUAGGGUGCGAGCGUUAAUCGGAAUUACUGGGCGUAAAGCGUGCGCAGGCGGUUUUGUAAGCCAGAUGUGAAAUCCCCGGGCUUAACCUGGGAAUGGCAUUUGGGACUGCAAGGCUUGAGUGCGGCAGAGGAGACUAGAAUUCCUGGUGUAGCAGUGAAAUGCGUAGAUAUCAGGAGGAAUACCGAUGGCGAAAGGCAGGUCUCUGGGCUGACACUGACGCUCAUGCACGAAAGCGUGGGGAGCAAACAGG